GUACGAAGGGGGCUAGCGUUGUUCGGAAUACUGGGCGUAAAGCGUGCGCAGGCGGCGGCUCAAGUCAGGUGUGAAAUCCCCGGGCUUAACCUGGGAAUUGCGCUUGAAACUAGGUCGCUAGAGUGUGGCAGAGGGGGGUGGAAUUCCACGUGUAGCAGUGAAAUGCGUAGAGAUGUGGAGGAACACCGAUGGCGAAGGCAGCCCCCUGGGUCAACACUGACGCUGACAGCGCGAAAGCUAGGGGAGCGAACGGG
rnacentral:rRNA from 1 species